GGCUAGACAGCUAGCUAGGUAGCUGCAGCAAACACAAAUUAUAUAUAAGAAAACUGAAUAAUCCAUCCAUUUUAUCUUAUUUCAGUUGAUUAAUUUAAUUUGUAAGGAAGGUACGUACAUACAGCGGCAGCAACAGCAGGAGGCAAUAAAUGCCGAAUGGAGGGAGUUGAAUUUGGAAUUGAAGAAGCAAGCAUGUAGAGGAGAGAUGGAUGCUGUAAAAGGAAGGGUUUUGAACAUUGUAGUUAUUGUGGUUCAGGGUUGUUGUCCAUUACCUAACAUUACCAUUGCUUAAUCUGUAGGUUAUUCAUAUGGAAU
rnacentral:lncRNA from 1 species